UACGUAUGGUGCAAGCGUUAUCCGGAUUUACUGGGUGUAAAGGGUGCGUAGACGGUCAUGCAAGUCUGAAGUGAAAGGCGGGGGCUCAACUCCCGGACUGCUUUGGAAACUGUGUGACUGGAGUGCAGGAGGGGUAAGCGGAAUUCCUGGUGUAGCGGUGAAAUGCUUAGAUAUCAGGAGGAACACCGGCGGCGAAGGCGGCUUACUGGACUGUAACUGACGUUGAGGCACGAAAGCGUGGGGAGCAAAC
rnacentral:rRNA from 1 species